CAGUAGCCACGGGAAAACCGAGGGUGCAAGCGUUAAUCGGAUUUACUGGGCGUAAAGGGCGCGUAGGUGGUUAUUUAAGUGAGAUGUGAAAGCCCCGGGCUUAACCUGGGAACUGCAUCUUAUACUGGGUAACUGGAGUGCAGUAGAGGGUAGUGGAAUUUCCGGUGUAGCGGUGAAAUGCGUAGAGAUCGGGAGGAACAUCAGUGGCGAAGGCGGCCAUCUGGACCUGUACUGACGCUCAUGCACGAAAGCGUGGGGAGCAAACAGGAUUAGAUACCCCAGUAGUCCCUGUCUCUUAUAC
rnacentral:rRNA from 1 species